rnacentral:rRNA from 1 species
UACGUAGGGUGCAAGCGUUGUCCGGAAUUAUUGGGCGUAAAGAGCUCGUAGGCGGUUUGUCGCGUCUGCCUGUGAAAUCUGGGGGCUCAACCCCCAGCCUGCAGUGGGUACGGGCAGACUAGAGUGCGGUAGGGGAGAUUGGAAUUCCUGGUGUAGCGGUGGAAUGCGCAGAUAUCAGGAGGAACACCGAUGGCGAAGGCAGAUCUCUGGGCCGUAACUGACGCUGAGGAGCGAAAGCAUGGGGAGCGAACAGG